UACGUAGGGGGCAAGCGUUGUCCGGAUUUAUUGGGCGUAAAGAGCGUGUAGGCGGCCUGAAAGGUCAGCUGUGAAAACUCGAGGCUCAACCUCGAGACGUCGGUUGAAACCAUCUGGCUAGAGUCCGGAAGAGGAGUGUGGAAUUCCCGGUGUAGCGGUGAAAUGCGCAGAUAUCGGGAAGAACACCCGUGGCGAAGGCGGCACUCUGGGACGGUACUGACGCUGAGACGCGAAAAGCGUGGGGAGCGAACGAGGA
rnacentral:rRNA from 1 species